GACGAACGCUGGCGGCGUGCUUAACACAUGCAAGUCGAACGGUAAGGCCCUUCGGGGUACACGAGUGGCGAACGGGUGAGUAACACGUGGGUGAUCUGCCCUGCACUUUGGGAUAAGCCUGGGAAACUGGGUCUAAUACCGGAUAGGACCACGGCCUGCAUGGGUUGUGGUGGAAAGCUUUUGCGGUGUGGGAUGGGCCCGCGGCCUAUCAGCUUGUUGGUGGGGUGAUGGCCUACCAAGGCGACGACGGGUAGCCGGCCUGAGAGGGUGUCCGGCCACACUGGGACUGAGAUACGGCACAGACUCCUACGGGAGGCAGCAGUGGGGAAUAUUGCACAAUGGGCGCAAGCCUGAUGCAGCGACGCCGCGUGGGGGAUGACGGCCUUCGGGUUGUAAACCUCUUUCACCAGGGACGAAGCGCAAGUGACGGUACCUGGAGAAGAAGCACCGGCCAACUACGUGCCAGCCGCCGCGGUAA
rnacentral:rRNA from 1 species